AACGCUGGCGGCGUGCCUAAUCCAUGCAAGUCGAGCGAACGGACGAGAAGCUUGCUUCUCUGAUGUUAGCGGCGGACGGGUGAGUAACACGUGGAUAACCUACCUAUAAGACUGGGAUAACUUCGGGAAACCGGAGCUAAUACCGGAUGAUAUUUUGAACCGCAUGGUUCAAAAGUGAAAGACGGUCUUGCUGUCACUUAUAGAUGGAUCCGCGCUGCAUUAGCUAGUUGGUAAGGUAACGGCUUACCAAGGCAACGAUGCAUAGCCGACCUGAGAGGGUGAUCGGCCACACUGGAACUGAGACACGGUCCAGACUCCUACGGGAGGCAGCAGUAGGGAAUCUUCCGCAAUGGGCGAAAGCCUGACGGAGCAACGCCGCGUGAGUGAUGAAGGUCUUCGGAUCGUAAAACUCUGUUAUUAGGGAAGAACAUAUGUGUAAGUAACUGUGCACAUCUUGACGGUACCUAAUCAGAAAGCCACGGCUAACUACGUG
rnacentral:rRNA from 1 species